rfam:Bacillus krulwichiae strain AM31D, complete genome.
CAAAGCAAGAAGAAGCGCCCGCUUCUCACCUGAUGACGCUAUAUGCAGUUUACAGGUAAAAACGUUUCAUUUUUGGAUAAAUGGAAUUAGUGUGGGCGUAUUGCGCCCGCACUUUUUUUGUACU